rnacentral:rRNA from 1 species
CCUACGGGUGGCAGCAGUGAGGAAUAUUGGUCAAUGGGCGCGAGCCUGAACCAGCCAAGUCGCGUGAAGGAUGACGGUCCUAUGGGUUGUAAACCUCUUUUGUCGGGGAGCAAAGGGCGGCACGUGUGCCUUUCCGAGUGUACCCCAAGAAAAAGGAUCGGCUAACUCCGUGCCAGCAGCCGCGGUAAUACGGAGGAUCCGAGCGUUAUCCGGAUUUAUUGGGUUUAAAGGGUGCGGAGAUGGGAUGUUAAGUCAGGUGGAAAAGUUUGGGGCUCAACCCUCAGACUGCAGUUGAAACUGGUUGACUUGAGUGCAGGAGAAGUAUGCGGAAUGCGUGGUGUAGCGGUGAAAUGCAUAGAUAUCACGCAGAACUCCGAUUGCGAAGGCAGCAUACU